rnacentral:rRNA from 1 species
UGGGGAAUAUUGCACAAUGGGGGAAACCCUGAUGCAGCGACGCCGCGUGAACGAAGAAGGUAUUCGUAUCGUAAAGUUCUGUCCUAUGGGAAGAUAAUGACAGUACCAUAGAAGAAAGCUCCGGCUAAAUACGUGCCAGCAGCCGCGGUAACACGUAUGGAGCGAGCGUUGUCCGGAAUUAUUAGGCGUAAAGGGUACGCAGGCGGUUUAAUAAGUCGAAUGUUAAAGAUCGGGGCUCAACCCCGUAAAGCAUUGGAAACUGAUAAGCUUGAGUAGUGGAGAGGAGAGUGGAAUUCCUUGUGGAGAGGUGAAAUACGUAGAUAUUAGGAGGAAUACCGGUAGGGAAGGCGACUUUCUGGACACAAACUGACGAUGAGGUACGAAAGCGUGGGGAGCAAACAGG